UGCCCCUGGCGAUCGUUGUGAUCUCAGGGCUUCUGGCUCUCGACCAGACAAAAUCCGGGUGGAACAAUGUCGCGAGGAAUGUGAACUCCGUCAUCUCAGAGAAUGACGAGCAAUUUGACAAGAUACUAUCUCUGAGCUAUGCCCACCUGCCUCAUCAUCUGAAGCCGUGUUUCCUUUACAUGGCAGGUUUCCCGGAAUACUAUGAUAUGCGCGCUUCCAAACUGUUCAAGCUAUGGGUAGCUGAAGGAUUUCUAAAAGCGAAGCGGUAUAAAAGCCUGGAAGAGACGGCAGAAGAGUAUCUGGAGGAUCUGGUGAAGCGAAGUCUUGUUUUGGUCACACAGAGGAAGUCCAAUGGCAGAAUCAAGAGCCUGAGCAUCCACGAUCUCCUCAGGGAGAUGUGCAUCAGAAAAGCCCGCGAACAGGAUUUUCUCCUGCAUCUUCGCGGGCUUAAACAUGCAUCAUCACUGAAGAUUCCACGCCGCCUAAGCGUCAUCCAUUCCGACCUAGAUUCCCUCCAAGGCUGCACCAUCCGUACUAUAAUAUGUUUGGAGGAGAGAAGACGAGGACGAGGACGAGGACGAGGAAGACAAUGUUCGGUGCGAUGUUUCCGAUUGCUGAGGAUUCUUGAUCUGAUGAAUGCCUAUGAAUACUUCUACGACUACAAGAAUGAUAACUCGCCCGUCUUCUCUCUACCGGAGGAGCUGUUCGAGCUCUUCCAUUUGAGAUACCUGGCCUUCGACUACACCUUCACCAUUCCGGGGGCCAUAUCGAAUCUUCAGAAUCUUCAGACACUGAUCAUCGGUCCGAGGAAGUAUNGCUUCGACGGCGAACUGAUGGCAAUAAAGCGCCGGCUCUGCGGAGAGCCGGCGUCUCCGCUGGAGACCAUCCCAAUCGCCGGUAUGGGAGGCAUAGGCAAGACUACGCUCGCCGUAAACGCCUACAACGAUCCAUUGAUCAUGGAGCGUUUCCAUAUUCGUGCUUGGGUGACAGUAUCACAAGAUUACAACGUCCGGGAAAUCACUUCGGGCUUCUGCGUCAAUGGAGUUAGCGCAAGGGACUCGCAGCAGCAUCACGUGUUCCAGAAGUUGAAGUGUCGGAGAUUCCUGAUUGUUCUGGAUGAUGUGUGGAGUACUCAGGCGUGGGACGAGUUGAGGCUGAUGUUUCCGGACGAUGGUAAUGGAAGUCGGAUCAUACUGACCACGAGGUUAGUGGAUGUGGCCAGCUAUGUGGUGGACGUAGCUGGCCACAUCCAUUUCAUGCGCUUGUUGGAUGAAGAUCAGAGCUGGAGUUUGCUGAAGCAGAAGGUGUUCAGACAAGGUUUUUGCCCUGAUGAUAAACUGGCUUAUGCCGGGAAGAUGAUCGCCAGGAGCUGCAGGGGCCUGCCCCUGGCGAUCGUUGUGAUCUCAGGGCUUCUGGCUCUCGACCAGACAAAAUCCGGGUGGAACAAUGUCGCGAGGAAUGUGAACUCCGUCAUCUCAGAGAAUGACGAGCAAUUUGACAAGAUACUAUCUCUGAGCUAUGCCCACCUGCCUCAUCAUCUGAAGCCGUGUUUCCUUUACAUGGCAGGUUUCCCGGAAUACUAUGAUAUGCGCGCUUCCAAACUGUUCAAGCUAUGGGUAGCUGAAGGAUUUCUAAAAGCGAAGCGGUAUAAAAGCCUGGAAGAGACGGCAG
rnacentral:lncRNA from 1 species